rnacentral:misc_RNA from 1 species
GCCUCCGUCUUCAGGGACGGAUCGAAGGUAACAUCAAGAAACUCAGAGCUGAGCAUGAGAAGAUGGAGAAGAAGUCGGUGAAAAAGGGUUCGGUGUCGUCACGGGUGGUUCAUGUAAGUCCAUCUCCUCCUCCUGCUCCAUUGAAUUUGAAGAGGAAAAUGCGAUUGGUUGAUGAGUCUGAUGAUGAAAAUGAAGAAAUGGGGG